rnacentral:rRNA from 1 species
AGUAAUGUAUGGGGAUCUGCCUGAUGGCGGGGGAUAACUACUGGAAACGGUAGCUAAUACCGCAUAAUGUCGCAAGACCAAAGAGGGGACCUUCGGGCCUCUUGCCAUCGGAUGUGCCCAGAUGGGAUUAGCUAGUAGGUGGGGUAACGGCUCACCUAGGCGACGAUCCCUAGCUGGUCUGAGAGGAUGACCAGCCACACUGGAACUGAGACACGGUCCAG